rnacentral:lncRNA from 1 species
GGGGUUUCGGCUUGUGGUGGCGCUGAGGCGGCGGGACCCCCACCAGAAAGCGCCCGUGGGGAAAGGAAGUUAUUUUAGAAGGAAGGAAUACAUGUAAGAAACAAGAUGUCUCAUGCCGGGAGACGAUACCAAGAUAAGCCAUACAGGCACCAUCAAAACCAUGGAUCUGAUAGAUACGAGGAAGACAGAAGAACAAGAAAACCAUACCUGUACAAUGCAAGGUCAACAGAAGACAUCCAGGGUAGCCAGCACUCAAGGACUUCUACUGUUCGCUCAGACCUUUACUCUAAAACCUCAGUAGCAGCGCAGGAAUAUUUUGGCCCACCACCAGAGUGUUAUCCUCCCAAGGAAACCUUGUCAAUGAAGUGUUCAAAGGGACAUCAUGGAUCUGCAGAUUACAGAUUCAAAAGGCAACAGAAACACUGAAGUCUGACACCUUCUGUUCCUGUAGUAGUGAAGGAG